rnacentral:rRNA from 1 species
GAUGAAUGCUGGCGGCGUGCCUAACACAUGCAAGUCGAGCGGCAGCGCGAGUAGUUUACUACUUGGCGGCGAGCGGCGGACGGCUGAGUAACGCGUGGGAACGUGCCCCAAAGUGAGGAAUAACUGCCCGAAAGGGUGGCUAAUGCCGCAUAUGAUCUUCGGAUUAAAGUCUUCGGACGCUUUGGGAGCGGCCCGCGUUAGAUUAGGUAGUUGGUGAGGUAAUGGCUCACCAAGCCGACGAUCUAUAGCUGGUCUGAGAGGAUGAUCAGCCAGACUGGGACUGAGACGCGGCCCAGACUCCUACGGGAGGCAGCAGUGAGGAAUCUUCCACAAUGGGCGAAAGCCUGAUGGAGCAACGCCGCGUGAAGGAUGAAGGCCUUAGGGUUGUAAACUUCUUUUAUAAGUGAAGAAUAUGACGGUAACUUAUGAAUAAGCACCGGCUAACUACGUGCCAGCCGCCGCGGUAA